CCUACGGGAGGCAGCAGUAGGGAAUAUUGCUCAAUGGGGGAAACCCUGACGCAGCAACGCCGCGUGGGGGAUGAAGGUUUUCGGAUUGUAAACUCCUUUUGUUAGAGAAGAUAAUGACGGUAUCUAACGAAUAAGCACCGGCUAACUCCGUGCCAGCAGCCGCGGUAAUACGGAGGGUGCAAGCGUUCCUCGGAAUCACUGGGCGUAAAGGGCGAGUAGGCGGGAUAGCAAGUCAGAUGUGAAAUCCUAUGGCUUAACCAUAGAACUGCAUUUGAAACUGUUAUUCUAGAGUAUGGGAGAGGUAGGUGGAAUUCUUGGUGUAGGGGUAAAAUCCGUAGAGAUCAAGAGGAAUACUCAUUGCGAAGGCGACCUGCUAGAACAUAACUGACGCUGAUGCGCGAAAGCGUGGGGAGCAAACAGGAUUAGAUACCCCGGUAGUC
rnacentral:rRNA from 1 species